rnacentral:rRNA from 1 species
UACGUAGGAGACGAGCGUUGUCCGGAGUUACUGGGCGUAAAGGGUGCGCAGGUGGCGGCGCGCGUGGGGGGUGAAAUCGCCCGGCUUAACUGGGCGGGGGCCUUCCAGACGGGGUGGCUUGAGCAGCGGAGGGGGACGUGGAAUUCCGGGUGGAGCGGUGAAAUGCGUAGAGAUCCGGAAGAACACCGGUGGCGAAGGCGGCCUGCUGGGCUAUGGCUGACACUGAGGCGCGACAGCGUGGGGAGCAAACAGG